rnacentral:snoRNA from 1 species
GACCCCUGGCUAUGGGCAAAGAGACAGCUGAUUGGUGGUGGUGCUGUUAUAUCAGUCAGGGACAGAGCCAACUCAAAGUCCUUUGUUCAUCCUAUCUUGAUGCCUGGAUUGUGGCCAGAGCUGUUUCAUGCCUAGGGAACAUUU